GACGAACGCUGGCGGCGUGCUUAACACAUGCAAGUCGAGCGGUAAGGCCCUUUCGGGGGUACACGAGCGGCGAACGGGUGAGUAACACGUGGGUGACCUGCCCUCAGCUCUGGGAUAAGCCUGGGAAACCGGGUCUAAUACUGGAUAUGACUCCAUGACGCAUGUUGUGGGGUGGAAAGCCUUGUGCGGCUGAGGAUGGGCCCGCGGCCUAUCAGCUUGUUGGUGGGGGAUGGCCUACCAAGGCGACGACGGGUAGCCGGCCUGAGAGGGCGACCGGCCACACUGGGACUGAGACACGGCCCAGACUCCUACGGGAGGGCAGCAGUGGGGAAUCUUGCGCAAUGGGCGAAAGCCUGACGCAGCGACGCCGCGUGAGGGAUGACGGCCU
rnacentral:rRNA from 1 species